CUGUCGCUUUCACACGUCUUUUAGUAACUCUUUUCUCUUUUCUUGUUUCAGCACAUGAGAAACUUUCUCCUGCUCAUCUGCUUUUGUUAACUAAAUGCAGGAGCAGGCAGAGCUGUCUUUACUGCAGGAAGCCACACACACCUGCAGACCCGCCUCUGCCAUCUGGUCCUUGCUUCUCCAGGUGUGGUCGGCAUCCCUGGGAAGCUUGUUUACACAAGCUUCUGGGGUCUCACUUUCGGGGAUUUUGAUUCAUAGGAAUAAGGUGGACUUAGAAAUCUGUGUUUUAAUAAGCACCCCCAACCCUUCCUCAGAGAUCUUACUAUAAAGCUCAAGAACCAUUCAUUGGUCCAGGUUCAUCUGGUCUAGGAGAGUAUGAAAGGGAAGCGUAAUGAAAGCACAUGUUCACUCAUGGCUGCCCUUGACUUCCUUUGGAAUUCUCACUCCUUUUGGCCCCAGUUCCAUGGGUCUUUGUACAACUGGCUGCUACCACCAUGCCUGGCUCUGGGGCUCUUCCAUUCCCUUGGCUUGGCUGUGGACAAAUACAUACUCUCUUUGGCCUGGUGCAGCUGUGGAUGCCUGCCAAUUGUUUUCUAGUCGUUGCUCUGCUGCUAAGAAUUAGUUCACACCAAGUUUUGAUCCCACUGAUUGAGAAGAAGCCCAAUCAGGGCUCCUGAUUAUGGUGGCUAAGAGCAUGGUAGUUACGGUCUUGGCCAUGGAAGUUGGAGGGACCUGAGUUUAAAUCUCAGCCCCACUCAGUAACAUGGCUGUGUGGUUUAAGUCAGACACAGGAUCUUUUUGGGCCUCUACUUUCAGAUCUGCAAAAUAGGAUGAAGAUAUUUUCUGUACCUAUGUCAAAGAGUUGAUGAGUGGGAAGAAUGAAAACAUAUUCUAAAGAACAGCAAUGGACAAGACAGCCUGUUUUUGAUGGUGAAAAUAGCAACAUUGUUAGAGAGGAGAAUGGAAAGUCCGUCAGAGACUGAUAAAUUAAAUACGUUGUUCAGCCAGAACCAGGUUCUCCCUACGUUGUCCAGGCUGGUCUUAAACUGCUGGGCUCAAGAGAUCCUCCUGACUUGGCCUCCCAAAGCACUGAGAUUACAGUGUGUUAAGUGAGUCUCCUGAAGGCAGCAGAUAGUUGGUUGUUUAGGAGUGGGAGGGGCCUUAGAGAGCACCUGUCUGAAGGGUAGGCUGAGGACCGCUUGCAUCAUAAUCACCUGGAGGAAUUAUACAAAAUGAACAUUUCCAGUCCCAAGCCCAUUCCUAUGGAACCAGAAUUCUUGGUGCUGGUGGUGGUGGGGGGGUGGCAGUUUAGGGAACUUAGAAUCUACAUUUUUACAAUUUUUAAAAUAGUUAUUUAUUUUUUAAAAGCAAUAAUAAAAUCAUUAUGUUAAUGCACAUUGCAUAUCAUAUGAAAAAAAAAUUAUAUCAUCCCAAACAACAAAUAAUGUAAUUUAAAGUCUUCUGGCAGCCACAUUUUAAAAAGUGGAUAUUAUUUUACAAUUUGGCUAUCAUUUUAUCAUUUCAUAUAGUGGUAUCACUUUACAUUUUUGCAAAUCUCUUUAAUAUCUUAUAAUAUUAACAUUAACAGAGGACAGCUGGGCUCUUUUCUGCUUCUGCAUUGCAUCUGUUAUGUUGUGUGGUCGAAGUCUGACCUCAUAUAGAUAUGUAGUUGAAAACAAAAGAGGGGUAUUUUAAUAGCAUUUUCAGAUCAUUGUGAAUUUUUUUCUUUGCAAUUUUACCAAAACUAUAUAAAUAGCAAUUUCUUAAAGGAUAAUUACAAUGUGAAAUCUGAAAUCAUAUAAUUGAUUAUAUCAUUGCCUAUAUCAUUAUUAUAUUAUUACAUUGAUAUAUUAUCUACUAGGAAUCUGAAUUUUUGUUAACCAGCUACUUAGUGUGAUGCUUAUACAGACUAUAGUUUGAGAACCAUCAAAUCUAAUUCAGUCCUUUUGUUACACAGAGGUAAACUGAGGUCCCAUGAAUGUAUCUUUUCUUCACUUAGUCCAAAGGCCUUUCCUUUUUUGAUACUUGUUAGUGAGUAAUAAACUGCUAGAAACAUA
rnacentral:lncRNA from 10 species